rnacentral:rRNA from 1 species
AGAUUGAACGCUGGCGGCAGGCCUAACACAUGCAAGUCGAGCGGCAGCACGGGUACUUGUACCUGGUGGCGAGCGGCGGACGGGUGAGUAAUGCCUAGGAAUCUGCCUGGUAGUGGGGGAUAACGCUCGGAAACGGACGCUAAUACCGCAUACGUCCUACGGGAGAAAGCAGGGGACCUUCGGGCCUUGCGCUAUCAGAUGAGCCUAGGUCGGAUUAGCUAGUUGGUGGGGUAAUGGCUCACCAAGGCGACGAUCCGUAACUGGUCUGAGAGGAUGAUCAGUCACACUGGAACUGAGACACGGUCAGACUCCUACGGGAGCAGCAGUGGGAAUAUUGGACAAUGGGCGAAAGCUGAUCCAGCCAUGCCGCGUGUGUGAAGAAGGUCUUCGGAUUGUAAAGCACUUUAAGUUGGAGGAAGGCAGUUACUAAUACGUAUCUGUUUUGACGUUACGACAGUAAUAAGCACGGCUAACUCUGUGCCAGCACG